GUACCGCGCGGCCUACACUGCAGUCGUACAGGAUAACUCAGCUUGCUUAGCGGAUUAGUGGCGAACGGGUGAGUAACACGUGAGUAACCUGCCCUUGACUCUGGGAUAAGCGUUGGAAACGACGUCUAAUACCGGAUAUGACCUUCGGAGGCAUCUCCUGGGGGUGGAAAGAUUUUUUGGUCAAGGAUGGACUCGCGGCCUAUCAGGUUGUUGGUGAGGUAAUGGCUCACCAAGCCUACGACGGGUAGCCGGCCUGAGAGGGUGACCGGCCACACUGGGACUGAGACACGGCCCAGACUCCUACGGGAGGCAGCAGUGGGGAAUAUUGCACAAUGGGCGAAAGCCUGAUGCAGCAACGCCGCGUGAGGGAUGACGGCCUUCGGGUUGUAAACCUCUUUUAGUAAGGAAGAAGAACUUCGGUUUGACGGUACUUGCAGAAAAAGCACCGGCUAACUACGUGCCAGCAGCCGCGGUAAUACGUAGGGUGCAAGCGUUGUCCGGAAUUAUUGGGCGUAAAGAGCUCGUAGGCGGUUUGUCGCGUCUGCUGUGAAAACUGGAGGCUCAACCUCCAGCCUGCAGUGGGUACGGGCAGACUAAAGUGCGGUAGGGGAGAUUGGAAUUCCUGGUGUAGCGGUGGAAUGCGCAUAUAUCACGAGGAACACCGAUGGCGAAGGCACAUCUCUGGGCCGUAACUGACGCUGAAGAGCGAAAGCUGGGGAGCGAACAGGAUUAUAUACCCUGGUAGUCCAUGCCGUAACGUUGGGAACUAGAUGUACGGGCCAUUCCCGGUUUCUG
rnacentral:rRNA from 1 species